CUACGGGAGGCUCCAGUAAGGAAUAUUGCGCAAUGGAGGCAACUCUGACGCAGCCAUGCCGCGUGCAUGAAGAAGGCCUUAUGGGUCGUAAACUGCUUUUAUUUAGGAAUAAACCCCCGAACGUGUUCGGGGCUGAAGGUACUAAACGAAUAAGCACCGGCUAACUCCGUGCCAGCAGCCGCGGUAAUACGGAGGGUGCAAGCGUUAUCCGGAUUUAUUGGGUUUAAAGGGUGCGCAGGCGGGCUAUUAAGUCAGUGGUGAAAUCCCGGGGCUCAACUCCGGAACUGCCAUUGAUACUGAUAGUCUUGAGUUUGGUUGAAGUGGGCGGAAUGUAGCAUGUAGCGGUGAAAUGCAUAGAUAUGCUACAGAACACCAAUCGCGAAGGCAGCUCACUAAGCCAAAACUGACGCUCAUGCACGAAAGCGUGGGGAUCAAACAGGAUUAGAUACCCUGGUAGUC
rnacentral:rRNA from 1 species